GAAGGAUUUUUGGUUGGAGAUCCUUACUUGGAGAAGCUUUUGCCUGUGAACCUGGAAUUUUGUGAUAUAGGUGAAACAAUAUCCAUUUCAAAGAUUAUUUUUCAAGCUGAGAAUCAACGUUCCAGUUCAUUUGCUUCCUGGUUACUGGGAAGAAAGCUGCACCAGCUGAGAUUGCAGCGCUAAUGGCCGUGUUCCAGAAAUACAGCAACCAAACCCGGAGCAAGCCUGAUUUCUAGAGGAGCUCUCACCUCUUAUCUGCAGCAUGCCAACUUUUUACACUAACCCAAGCCUCUGCUUGUCUAUAUGGAGGACACUCCUUAUGAAGGACUGUCACUUCUCUGUCUGCUGUCUGUAUGUAUAGAAAUGACCACGGGUAACUAGAAUAGCCACUAUAGUCAUUUCUCCAGAACAAUGAUUCUAUUUAACUUGAAUUUUCUAUAAGGCUUUGCACUGAUCCUUUAAGAUAGUGCACUUCAGAGUAAAAUUCUGCUUACAGAAAGCUUGCUCUGGCCUCACUCCUUGAUGCCCACUGCACCUCACAGAUCUCCCCAUAUAGCCUGCCCUUCCUUUGAAGUUGUUUUGGUUUUGUUUGUUUGCUUUUGAAAGGGGAAAAAUAAGAAGGACAUGAAAAAUGACUUAUUCUACUGUUCUUAGGAAAUUAGAUAGAUAGAUAGACAAACAGACAGACAGACCUUGUGCUUGUAUUUUCAUUUCUUUAAAACCGCAUUUGAAGAUUUAACUGUAGUGGCCCCUUGUCAGUAUUCUCUCUCAGAAACAGUCUUCCAAAUCCUUGGCAUCUAUUUCUCUGCCAGUUUGUGGGGCUGCAGGUCUCCAUGAGGAAUCGAUAGAGAACAAGCUAGAUAAAAGAGCGUAGGGGAAGUAGACACAGGAAUGUUAAAUAAUGUAAUUAUGCAUGAAGUGUGCCCUCCUUCUUUUCCAAUAAGUCCAUAUGCUCUUAUAAAUACACGCAAGGAUGGCAUUCUCCAGGGCGUCAUCCACGGUUUCUCUCAGCAGCCUUAACUGAGUCAGAGCUGCUCCCCUGGCACCUGCCACCUGCCCCAGCUUAGCAGAAGGAAACAGCAAUCCCAUCGGGCAGCUGCAGGCACAGGACAAUGGCAAUGUGAGCAACGCUUUCAGUAGUAGUUUUUCACAUGUAAGCAACUUCACUUUACCUUCAUAUCCAUUAUCCAAAAGCCAUGGCUGGUGCUGUCACUAGAAAAUAGCACAAGAAAUAUUGACUGAUGACUUGUGCGUACAGUGACCCUAAUAUACGUCUGCUUUUCUUCUCGAGGAUUGAUCUUCGUCGAUUCAUAACAUUAAAUUGUUCUUAUUUCAAUUCUUAUUCAAUUCUGAUAACAUCUUAUUUUUUCAAAUGUAAGGAUUUGUGAAUGGAACUCCUUAGAGUUUGGAGAGAAAGGCGUGAGUCUUCUGUCAAAGACAAGUGAUUUUACACCUGCAUGUCCAUAACCUUGCUUUCAGUUCAGGUGCCACCCCUGUUUAUCAUCUUGCCCCAGUGUUCAGGCUACGCCCAUUCUUUCCAUGUGAAAACCUCACGGAAAUUGACAUUGUUCAACAACAGCAGCCUGACUGAUGUAUAUUACACUUGAAGUUUGAAGGAUUGACUUCUUCAAGACAAUCUAAUGUCUGUGUUAGGGACAAAUUCCCUCUGUAGUGACGCUUGUUUUACGGUGUUGUGAGAACAUGCACAUCCCUCAGUCUUUCACACUGCUAUCCGGAUGUAAGGGAGUUCUAGCAGCAGAAAUGCAAGUGGUUACCAGUUCCCCAGUAAGAUCCUGUCUAUGACUCUGAUGGUAAAAAUUGAAAUUUUCACCAGAUACAUAACGUUAAAAGCAUGUAGGAUAAAUUAUGAAAAAGAAAAUAGAAAGAGAAGUAGCUGAGCUAACACCUUAACUAAAAGGAGGAAAAAAUAAGGCCUAAAAAGCAAAUCUGGGUGCUGUGUUUUCAUCAGAUAUUAACUUCAUCCCAAGAGGUGUUCAUUAUCCAGAUGAAAAUAUUUGGCUUAUUUAUCAGAGUGCAGAGGCUUACAUUGAGGUGAUAGUUCUGAAUGCAGUCAUCAUGAAAUGGCUGGUAUACAUCAGAGACACUGAAAGCGUGGAUUGAUCGGAGCCUUACGUUUGGCUGCGAUCCUAGAAACCCUGGAAGCGUGCGUUCAGCUUCUCACACUGCAUUUUGUUAGCACUGCAGUGACAUCGGGGCCUUUGUUGGUGUUUGAUUCCUCGUAUGCACAACAUGGCUGAUAUCAGAUUGCAAAUAGAGAUAAAUGUAAAUUGCUUUAUGAACUGUCAUUAUUACAACCAAGUUCCGUUAUUAGCUAGGUCUAAAUGUUUUCAUAUAUUCCACACCCAUGUUGCCCUUUGAGAUUUUAACUGUUGUUUUCUUGUACAUUAAUAAUUUCCUCGUAUAAUCAUUCCCAAGAGAAUGAGCUGAAAGAAUUAUGAAUUAAUUUGCAUCUCCUUAAUGUACUAAUAAACUUCCCAAGAAGAAAAUUUCACUCCAUCCAGGUGGAAACCAAUCACUUUAAAUCAGAGCUUACUGAAUUUCAAAGAGGUGUUUUGUUGUUUUUUUUUCUUUCCAAGAAGUUGCCAAAGAACAGUGCCCUGCAUGUUAAAAUUGGAAAGCACAAGCAGCAGUUUUAGUAAAAGCACCAAGUCAUUUUUUGCUGCA